GCCGGGUGCAGUGGCGCGCGCCUGUAAUCCAAGCUACUGUGAGGCUGAGGCUGGCGGAUCGCUUGAGUUCAGGGGUUCUGGGCUGCAGUGGACUAUGUCGAUCGGGUGUCCGCGCUAAGUUCGGUAUCGAUAUGGUGCUCCUGGGGGAGCUCGGGACCACCAGGUCGUCUAAGGAGGGGUGAACCGGCCCAGGUCGGAGACGGAGCAGGUCAAAGCCCCCGUGCCGAUCAGUAGUUGGGUCGCGCCUGUGAAUAGACACUGCAGUGCAGCCUGAGCGAUACAGCGAGACUCAGACUUUU
ensembl:misc_RNA Metazoa_SRP Metazoan signal recognition particle RNA